UGCAGCAAAAUACCUCACUUUUCUGGUUAGGGGAAGAACAGAUUUUGGGAUACCCUACAAAAAUAUAGAAGUUGUGGUGGAAUAUUCAAAACGUGAUUUCUUUAACAGUUUUUUUUUUUGAAAAACAUUCUUCAUAAUAUACAUGUAUCAGGUUUAAAUGUAGAACAACUAGGUACAGGAAGUCAUUCUAUAUAUCCUUAAAAUUGAAACUUUGCAUUUUUAACAUUCUUGUGGGAAGAAAAUGUGAAGAAACGAAAGGCAAUGUUGCAGAGCCUCAUGAAAUUGUACCAAGGAUACCUAAGGAUUGCAUGCAGUUUUAAUAUUUUUAAUGUAUGAUAUUUCAUUAGAAAUACGUUUUGUUAUUUAAAAGAUUGAAAAAGAAUGCCUCUUAUUUUCAUGUCAAAUUUAACUGUUUUCUCUUGCAGUAUAACUUUAUCUUUGUUUACUUGGAAGGACUUCCGCGUCAAAUGGCCUGCAGGCUAGUUGGAAAGUCGCAUUGGUGUAGAUUUUAUAUCCAUUUAUCGCACAAGUUCGCUCUUAGUUUACGCUGUCCUACUAGCGGUCUAAACCUGACCGGAAUGCAUCGCUGGCUGAACUAAACGAACCUCUCAAGCGCGGGAGUCUUGGGGGGGGGGAAACAGACGAGAUUCCCCACCUGCCAAUAACUGAAGCUUUUAUCCCGCUUCCAGUUACGAUUGCCGUGUAACCACUUUGGUUCGGGCGGUAGCAGUCAGAGUCCCGCCCCGCCCCCGCGUGGCUCGUGCGCGUUGACGCUCGCAUGACGCAGAUGGCAGGCGUGCCGGCGGUGACUUGGGGGCCCCUCCUCCAGAAGAUGGCGAGUCCGUGCGGGCGGCAGAAGUGCUCCAUCGAGAGGCGCGGCUUCCGCCACCAGCUCGACUCGUGGCGACACCGGCUGCUGCGCUGUGUGGCCCCAGUUUCCAUUUGGGUGUACUUUCCCCCUCUUGUGUAAACAAAAGAUAUGAAGGAAAUGACUAAACUGUGAAGGUUAAUCACCUAGUCAUCCAGAUUAUUUUUGGAGGCAAUGUAGCAGAAGUUGAAAGAACUGGCACUAUCUGAUUUGGAAAAGAAUACUGAUGAAACAAAUCCUGUCUUCAGAGAAAAGUAUUCAGUUAUGCAGGACAGAUGAAGUUCAGGAAAGGCCUCUGGCAAAAGAGUGACAAUGAGGUUAAUAUUAAGCGCCCUAUGUUCCUUUGCCUGACAUCUGGUAGUACUGUAUUGGUGAACACACAACUAGGAAGGUACAUAAAAAUGUCAAAGUUAUUAAUUUGUUGUGCGUUGUUUAGCUAGCAGAUCUCUGAAAGUCAUAAAAAUUGAAUAAUAGGAAACAGUGCACCAAAAUGUCAGAAAUCUAGCAUAAAUUUAUCUUUACAUCAGAUUCCCUCAAGAUUGUAUACAUUGACAAAAGUAUUUGACAAAAGAGUCUUUUAUUACAAUUAUCCAAGGUUGUAUCUCCAUGACAUUUAUCAGAAGUGAGACAUUAAUUCUUAGAUAAAUAAUUAGAUUAGGAAAAAUUGUAAUUUUUUUAGAAAUUGUUUCAAGCUAUCUAAGAAUGAAAUCUCAUUUCCUCCUUUAUGUCUGAUAAGCAAUUUUAUAAAACUUGUAGAACUAUUAAAUAUUUGAUUAUGAAAGACUGUAUAGUGCUGAUCUGCUUUGUAAUUUUUUUAAUUCUAUUGCGGUCUAUUCUAAUGGGAAACAUGACUUAGUUAAAAAAAAAGAAGUCUUUUUCACUGGCAGUAAUUUAUAGAUUACUUAUAGAUUAACACUAUAUGGUGAAUCUAAUACCUCAAGAGAGAUAUUCCAGAGAGUUGAGAGUGGACUUCAGAAACAUUAAAUGUAUCUUAUAACUGAGAAGUGAAUGAUUUAACUUAAAAAAGCUACAUUCUGAAAUAUUUUAAUAGAGCGAUAACUUAUAGGAAGUUAAAAAGAGAAAUUGGUAUUGCUGUUGAUGCAUUGUUAUUAACCAAGAACUCCUCAAUAUGUAAAAUAUGCGACAGCUGAUAACCUUAAGUGUAAAACAAUUAUGUUUACAUAAUUGUGGUCUUCAGUAACAGUUAUUCUCAUGAACUCCUAUUUUCAGAGUUCCGUUAUUUCUUUGCAUCAAAUUUGCAUGCUUUUGUAAAGCAGUGAAAAAUGUUAAAGCAAAUUAAAUUUCAUAAAAUGCAAAGUUGUAUGUUUUAAGCACUCAGGAACUUAUAUAUACUAUAGUUAAGGGAACAAUGUAUAUGUAAAAAUACAUUGCCAUUUCAUCAAAUGUGAAGUGACCAAUGUAUUUAAAAGUGUCUUUGUCUUUAGCAGACACAAAAAUGGUAAUUGGAAAAAGGGUUGGGUUCCAUCAUGAAUGUGUUUCAGAGGGAAAAGCUGCAGUGUGUACAUGAAUGUGCCUUUUAUAAGCGACACGCACACAUUCUGCUAAACAUAAUAAAGUAUCUCAUAAAGUUACCCUUAGAUUAAAGAUGGUUCUGAAUAAAUAGCUUGCUUGAAUAUUUUAAUGUUGUGCAGGAUUUUCUAUAGAUAAUGAAAGAAAAUCCUGUCUUACAAAUCCCUCUACUAAAAAUAGACAGUAUUGCAUUUCUUUUUUCCCCUUUGUAUGGUUAGAUGUUUCUUUGUUUAAACAAAUAUUCCGUCAGAUGGUAUGUAGUAAUACAAUAUCUUUUAAAUCUUGAAGAUAGCCCAUGUUAUGUCAAAUAGUUUCUGCAUUUGUGUCUAUGUGGUCAGUAUGAAUCAAUUCCUUCUUGAUGGCAUAAAAUCAUUAUGUUGUCAGAUCUCAAUAUUUAUAUUCUAAAAUUUUACUUUGCAGUAUACUGUUACCUUACAUGGAUUUUACCACUUUUCUCUGAGGAAGUAUAUAUACCUGUGUAUAUAUUGGAUCAUAACAUUCCUCACAUAUAAUUAAGAUAAAUCAGAAAAGCCUGGAACACAGAUAAGAAAUUUUAGUGCUGAAGGUCUGAAUUCCAAUCCUUCUGAAUUGUAUGAUAUAAGGUUACUAGUGAGGGGGAGGGGCCAUGUGUGACAAAGUCAAACUGUAAAGAUCUCAGAAAAAAUUUUCAAACUAAUAUUCUCAAUAGAUUCUAAAUAAAAUACAUUUACAAAAUGAUAGAGAAUCAGUCUAUCAGAGGUAAUUGGUCUGUCGAUCAAGGAAACCUUUUUUGAGACACAGUACAGUUUUUGAAGCUUGCUAUCUGUUGUACUUUAUUUUUCCAGGUUGUUUUUAAUUGUGUGCUGAAAAUCUUAUGAAGAGAUUUACAUAAAGCCACCUAGGCUAUAGUGCUGUAUUGUCUUUUGUUAUAAGAUGAACCAUAUGUGUUAACCAGAAUAAUAUGUAACACGCUGCCAUUGAUUCAAACCCAUAUAAUUGUAUUGUACCAUUUGUUUUAAAUCAAGGUAGCCAGGGGGUGUUUUCUGCCAAAACAGAGGCUAAGGAAUUGCUAGUCAAUUUUUCAUAAUUUUUCACUUAGAUUCUGGUGGAAAGUCAAGUGAACCUCCAGUCUUAUUUCGAAAGUAUUUAUUGUUGAACUGUUUCCAUUAAAACAAUAGUUUAUUCUGACAAAAAGAGCUAAAAUGUGUUUUUCUUUUGUAAAUUCUGGGGCUAUUUUUUUUAUACUUGAUGGAAAUAAAAUCAAUGUAGAAAAAAUUGUCUGUGCCAUAUAGCUGGAAAUUUAGGUAGAAAAGUAAAUAUCUUAAUAGGAAUGUGCACCUUUUGCUUCCUAAGCACGCUUAUUGCAUCUUUCUGAGAAGAAAUGUAGUUUCCCCCUUUUAAAAGUUCUGUAACUACAAUACAAGGACCAUGUGUAUGAAAGUGAAUGAAGGUUUCUAUAGAAAAUGUUCAUGGUUAAUUUUACUCAGUGUAGUGAAGCUAGAGUAUUUUAUUGUGGCUCAGAAAUGAAACAUCUCUACUCCUGCAGUUUUCUUAUCUCUCACUGCUCCUGGUAUAUUGGGAUGUUUGGGGGGGAGGGAGCAUUUUCACUGUCUGUUGAAUUCCGAUUGCGUAUCAUUGUCAUGUUUUUCCUUCAUGUCUCCCAAAAUCCAUUUGUAUUUUUGUUCUUGCUAAUGUUUGUAGCAGUACCCAAGUAGUGCCAUCUGUGAAUUUAACUAACAUGCUGUUUACCCUUU